rnacentral:tRNA from 2 species
GCCCGGGUGGCGAAAUUGGUAGACGCACCAGCUUCAGGUGCUGGCGCUGCGAGGCGUAUCGGUUCGAGUCCGAUCCCGGGCACCA